AUUGAACGCUGGCGGCGUGCUUAACACAUGCAAGUCGAUCGGUAACAGGUGUAGCAAUACAUGCUGACGAGAGGCGGACGGGUGAGUAAUGCUUGGGAAUCUGCCUAUUAGUGGGGGACAACCCGGGGAAACUCGGGCUAAUACCGCAUACGCUCUACGGAGGAAAGCCGGGGACCGCAAGGCCUGGCGCUAAUAGAUGAGCCCAAGUCGGAUUAGCUAGUUGGUAGGGAACGGCCUACCAAGGCGACAAUCCGUAGCUGGUCUGAGAGGACGACCAGCCACACCGGAACUGAGACACGGUCCGGACUCCUACGGGAGGCAGCAGUGGGGAAUAUUGGACAAUGGGGGCAACCCUGAUCCAGCGACGCCGCGUGGGUGAAGAAGGCCUGCGGGUUGUAAGGCCCUUUCGGUGGGGAAGAAAAGUCUCGACCUAAUACGUCGGGACCUUGACCGUAACCCACUAAAGAAGCACCGGCUAACUCUGUGCCAGCA
rnacentral:rRNA from 1 species